rnacentral:lncRNA from 1 species
AAAGGGCGGAGCACGUGCUUCUCUAUUAACGGUGUUCGCGUUAGCGUACCACGUAAGGUCUGAACACAGCAUUUCACAUGCUGUGCUUCAUUCUUUCUCUUCCUCCUUGUGGUGCCUUUACAACGAACAGCCUCAUGCUAUUGAGCUGGUCUUAGAUGUACCUGGAAGAUCCCAAAGGCUGAUGGGAACUUCCUAAGAUAAAGGCAAGUCCAUUCUGUCUUGUGCUUCUAUUCUUCCAACCUGAUGGAGAUGUGGAUGUCUUUAGGACGAGCAAGGAACACUCAGCGACGCUCUGACUCAAUUAAAGCUGAAAUUAAGGAGAGUAACGUUGCUUCGGUGGAGGAAAGAAAUGACUUUAUAAAAAGUUAUUGCCGGAAACAUUAAUGAGAGAGGCUGGGAAACUGUUUUGUUAUUCAGAAACAAUUUCAGCUUCUGCCUGAGCCCUGGCUCCUGCUGGGACCCUUCAUUUUCUCUCCAUCUCUCUUUCCCCAGCCACUGUGGUCUCCAUACAGCUAUAUGUCACUGUGGACCCACUGAGAUACAAGCCAUGUGCACACAGUAGGUCCCUUGCCCUGCUGGAGGGAGACACAUUCCCCAGACAGCCUGACCCCAUCCAUGUGUUAGAAGUCAGUCACCAGACUUCAGGCUACAACGUUUGGGGGCCACACCCAGGUUGCUCGUGUCCCAGCACGGGCAGCAUUUGGAUGAAUUUGAUUCUGCAACCAGAUGAGCUAAGCAAGAACAGCAACUAUUAACUAAUUUUAAACUAAUCAGUUGCACGAAACUUCAGCACCACAAAGAAAUCUCCCACCCUUUAGGAAGCAGGUCCCCUCCACAGAUGGGUACAAUGUCACUUUGUGUCUAUAUCACCAAACCCAGAACCUUCGAGCACCUGGGCAGUGGCUGGCUGCGCGUCAAUGCUGCCAGGCUGGAAUUACAACAGGCAAAUUUUCCGGGGGACUCUCAAGUUACAGAGCUGGUUCUGUGGAAGGCAGAAAGUAAACAAAGGAGGAUUCCUGUAAAUGCCUAACCCAAGGGGAGCUCAGCAGCCUCUCAGAGCACAAAGGAAAUGUGACACCUGAGAGAGAUCAACAGCCAAGCCUUUGCAGGGGGCCCAGUAGAGAAAAGAACACCUAUAGGGAGCCCCAAGUACUCAGAGCACAUCCCCAUGGUGCACUCCACCCCAGUGUUGGCAGGAAAUGUUAGCCCAUCUAGUGCACCAUUCUGGAUGGCUUGUCCCCCUGGUCCCUAGGCAAACCAUCAUCUAUCUAGUCUUGGUUAGUUUCUUCCUUGAGACAUCCAUGUCCCUUACAUGGAGUCUCCACCUGAUCCAAUAGAAGGCUUUGCUUGCUCUUUACAACACCCGCCCAACUGGUACCCUUCACUCAGCUCUUGGCUCCACCCACCAAAAGUGAACUCAACUUCCACACCUGUACAAAAUGUAACAGACUCUGCACCAUGUCUGACAGCAUCUGUUGUUGAUGUUGUUUAACUCAACAUCAUGCCUAGAAACCCUCAGAGUCACCCACCAACUGAGAGAUGGCUGGAUUCCACAGCUACAGGGUCACCCACUGUGUGUCCACGCUACCGUUUGUUUAACCCUUCCUCUCCUGGUUUCUGUCUCCUGCUAUUGCAAAUGAGGCUGCAAGAAAUGA